rnacentral:misc_RNA from 1 species
GAUGAAGAACGCAGUGAAAUGCGAUAAUUAAUGUGAAUUGCAGAAUUCAGUGAAUCAUCGAGUCUUUGAACGCACAUUGCGCCCCCUGGUAUUCCGGGGGGGAUGCCUGUCCGAGCGUCAUUGCUGCCCUCAAGCACGGCUUGUGUGUUGGGCUUCCGUCCCUGGCAACGGGGACGGGCCCAAAAGGCAGUGGCGGCACCAUGUCUGGUCCUCGAGCGUAUGGGGCUUUGUCACCCGCUCCCGUAGGUCCAGCUGGCAGCUAGCCUCGCAACCAAUCUUUUUAACCAGGUUGACCUCGGAUCAGGUAGGGAUACCCGCUGAACUUAAGCAUAUCAAUAAGCGGAGGA